rnacentral:rRNA from 1 species
GGCUCAGAUUGAACGCUGGCGGCAUGCUUUACACAUGCAAGUCGAACGGCAGCGCGGGGCAACCUGGCGGCGAGUGGCGAACGGGUGAGUAAUAUAUCGGAACGUACCCAAGAGUGGGGGAUAACGUAGCGAAAGUUACGCUAAUACCGCAUACGAUCUAUGGAUGAAAGUGGGGGGAUUCGCAAGAACCUCAUGCUCCUGGAGCGGCCGAUAUCUGAUUAGCUAGUUGGUGAGGUAAAGGCUCACCAAGGCGACGAUCAGUAGCUGGUCUGAGAGGACGACCAGCCACACUGGAACUGAGACACGGUCCAGACUCCUACGGGAGGCAGCAGUGGGGAAUUUUGGACAAUGGGCGCAAGCCUGAUCCAGCAAUGCCGCGUGAGUGAAGAAGGCCUUCGGGUUGUAAAGCUCUUUUGUCAGGGAAGAAACGGUCGGAGCUAAUAUCUUUGACUAAUGACGGUACCUGAAGAAUAAGCACCGGCUAACUACGUG